rnacentral:lncRNA from 1 species
AGGGGAGCCUUUGGCAACACGCAUGAAUGGGAGAUAUACUUUCCUCCAGCCCGUACCACAGCUGGGACCGUGCCUGGAAGGUGCGAGGCAGACCAGAGGGAGGUCAGGGGAAGCUGUAGCAGCUCCCAGGUGUAAUCCUGUAGCAUCAGGCGUGCCUCUCACUGUGCUUGUUGUGAUCUGAGAACAGCAAGGGGGGGCAUACUGUGUGUGAUUUGCGCACUCACGCAGGCCCUGCUAAACUGUAGCUCCUUCUCUUUGUAUUGCUGUUUCACACACAAAUUGCCAUGUGAACUAGUUGUGCCUCUGCACAUAUCUUCAGCGCUGAAUGAUGGUGUACAAUGAAAAAGGAGCAGUGUUACAUAACAACUCUGAACUGGGAGACCUGCGAUCAACUCAGACAGAGGCAUUUCCCGUAGUAAGAAGGUAACAACGAGGUGGAGCGCUGUACCCAUUACACAUGGUAAUGGGGAAGUUGUUUGCCAGUAGUCACAGAGACAGAACUGAGAAAUGCAGAUGUUGUGGGCCAGCUUGACUAAGCUCAUUUCCAAAGCACUUUCUUAGCUGGAUUGUGGACUUAAGAUAAAGACUUUAUUUUUAAUGGGCACUGACAAAAAAGCGAUGAAGGUGAAGAUGGUCUGAAUGUUUCAUCUCCCAUGGGGCUCAGAGCUAAGAAUUAAUGUGAAGAUGGAAGCUGUCAAUUGUUGUAAAUUUUAAUGGACUUUUCUGUCUUUUUUUUUUUUUUAAGGAGACAGAUAUAUAAUUCUUUCUUUUGAAAACUGAUCCCUUGUCCAAGAAUGGGUCUGGUCUUCUAAAUUUCUGCUUACAUUACACAGAAGAC